GCCGCGGUGCCCUUCCCAGACAGGCGGCGAGGCCAACACCCGGGCGAGGCCCCGUAGAGCGUCACGGCGGGCGCCGCGGCGGCCACUGCUCGGCUCCAGCCCGCGCCCGCCGUACGCACGCGCACUGUGCCCAGCAUGAGGGUGGCAGCUCUCAUCAGUGGUGGGAAGGACAGCUGUUAUAAUAUGAUGCAGUGCAUUGCUGCUGGGCAUCAGAUUGUUGCUUUAGCAAAUCUAAGACCAGAUGAAAAUCAAGGGGGUCCAGAUGAGCUAGAUAGCUACAUGUAUCAGACAGUGGGUCAUCAUGCCAUUGAUUUGUACGCAGAAGCGAUGGCUCUUCCUCUCUACCGUCGCACCAUAAGAGGAAAGAGCAUGGAUACCGGACGAGUGUACACCAGAUGCAAAGGUGACGAGGUUGAAGAUCUCUAUGAGCUUUUGAAACUUGUUAAGGAAAAAGAAGAAGUAGAGGGGAUAUCAGUAGGUGCUAUACUUUCUGACUAUCAGCGUGUUCGAGUAGAAAAUGUGUGUAAAAGGCUUAAUCUCCAGCCUUUAGCUUACCUUUGGCAGAGAAAUCAGGAAGAUUUGCUCCGAGAAAUGAUAUCAUCUAACAUUCAAGCAAUCAUCAUCAAAGUAGCAGCUUUGGGUUUAGAUCCAGAUAAGCAUCUUGGAAGAACCCUAGAUCAAAUGGAGCCUUAUCUCUUAGAGCUUUCUAAGAAGUAUGGAGUCCAUGUUUGUGGAGAAGGUGGAGAAUAUGAAACGUUCACUUUGGAUUGCCCUCUAUUUAAGAAGAAAAUAAUUGUAGCCUUGUUGAAAAAAAUUACAGCCUGGCCUUUCAGAUACAAGGAUAAUUGCAAGACAAUUAGAUUCAUCAGAAGUAGUCACACAUUCAGCUGAUGCAUUUGCACCUGUGGCUUAUCUACGCUUUUUAGAAUUGCACUUGGAGGACAAGGUAUCCCCAGUGCCUGACAACUACAGAACAUCUAGUUAUAUACAUAAUUCUUGAAAAGCAUUUUUGAACAUUGUUUACUAAGUUGCCAUCUGUAUGUGAAAAAGAUAUAUAUAGCAUUUUCUCAAUUAUCAUGUCCAGCUUUUUCUUGUUACAUUUUUUUUUAUUGUUAGAAAUGUAUAGCUUCAUUAGAAGAAAUAAAUAGAACCAUGAUUAAUCGAGGAAAUAUGAAUGCUUUGCUCACUAAUACUACCAACUCCCUCAGGAAGUUUCCCUGACUUUUCUUAACACAUCCUAUCCAUGACCUCUAUGUUAUAUAUGCCCUUUUCUCCCCCUUUACUUCAUCUCCAAUUCUCAUUUCUAUAACAUUUCUUUGCUUCCAUUACAGUGGUUCAUUUUCUUCCUUCUCUCUUUCCCGCUCUCAUCUCUACGAAAAAUAUCAUGAUACACAGGCAUUUGAAAAUGAGGGUGAAAAGGCAAUCACUUUAUUUAGACAAUAAGUCUAUUUUACUGGGAGUCAUCAAAGUGAUUUAUCAUUUUUAUUUUAAAUAUAUUUAUUGUAUCAACAUUAUUGAACAAUCAAGAAUAUCAUUACCUCUUACCGGUUAUUUUACAACAUUAAAAAAUGCAACCACUUUCAUGUUACCUAGGCUAAUGUUAGACAACUUUAUUUUGAAUAGACUUUUUUUUUAGAACAAUUUUAGAUUCACAGCAAAAUUGAACUGAAAGUAAAGAGAAUUCCUACGCACUUUCUGACCCCAGACAUGCACAGCCUCCUGCACUAUCCACAUCAGGUACUUAUCCCCCAAAAUUCAUAGUUUACAUUAUGAUUCACUCUUGAUGUUGUAUAGUCUAUGGGUUUGGACAAAUGUAUAAUGACAUGUGUCUUAUCAUUAUAGUACCAUACAGAAGAGUUCCACUGCCCUAAAAAUCCUCUGUGCUCUGCAUAUUCAUCUUUCCUUUCCCUCUAACCUCUGGCUACCACUGACCUUUUUACUGUCUCCAUGGUUUCGCCUUUUCUAAAAUGUUAUAUAGUUGGAAUCAUACAUUGUGUAGCUUUUUUUACAUUGACUUCUUUCACCUAGCAAUUUGCACUGAAGAUUCCUCCGUGCCUUUUAAUGAGUUUUUAAAUGCUGAAUAAUAUUCCAUAGUCUGGAUGUACCACAGUUACCCGUUCACCUACCAAAUUGAUUGCUUCCAAGUUUUGGCAAUUAAAAAUAAAACUGCUAUAAA